rnacentral:rRNA from 1 species
GAGUUUGAUCAUGGCUCAGAUUGAACGCUGGCGGCAGGCCUAACACAUGCAAGUCGAGCGGCAGCGGGGAGUAGCUUGCUACUCUGCCGGCGAGCGGCGGACGGGUGAGUAAUGCUUGGGAACUUGCCUUUAGGAGGGGGAUAACCACGGGAAACUGUGGCUAAUACCGCAUAAUGUCUACGGACCAAAGCAGGGGAUCUUCGGACCUUGCACCUAGAGAUAGGCCCAAGUGAGAUUAGCUAGUUGGUGGGGUAAAGGCUCACCAAGGCGACGAUCCGUAGCUGGUCUGAGAGGAUGAUCAGCCACACCGGGACUGAGACACGGCCCGGACUCCUACGGGAGGCAGCAGUGGGGAAUAUUGGACAAUGGGGGCAACCCUGAUCCAGCCAUGCCGCGUGUGUGAAGAAGGCCUUAGGGUUGUAAAGCACUUUCAGCAGGGAGGAAAAGCUGAUCGUUAAUAGCGGUCAGUGUUGACGUUACCUGCAGAAGAAGCACCGGCUAACUCCGUGCCAGCAGCCGCGGUA